rnacentral:rRNA from 1 species
UACGUAGGGUGCGAGCGUUAAUCGGAAUUACUGGGCGUAAAGCGUGCGCAGGCGGUUUUGUAAGACAGGCGUGAAAUCCCCGGGCUCAACCUGGGAAUUGCGCUUGUGACUGCAAGGCUAGAGUACGUCAGAGGGGGGUAGAAUUCCAGCGUGUAGCAGUGAAAUGCGUAGAGAAUGUGGAGGAAUACCGAUGGCGAACGGAGCCAGCCC